rnacentral:rRNA from 1 species
GAUGAACGCUGGCGGCGUGCCUAAUACAUGCAAGUCGAGCGAACAGACGAGGAGCUUGCUCCUUCGACGUUAGCGGCGGACGGGUGAGUAACACGUAGGUAACCUACCUAUAAGACUGGGAUAACUUCGGGAAACCGGAGCUAAUACCGGAUAAUAUUUCGAACCGCAUGGUUCGAUAGUGAAAGAUGGCUUUGCUAUCACUUAUAGAUGGACCUGCGCCGUAUUAGCUAGUUGGUAAGGUAACGGCUUACCAAGGCAACGAUACGUAGCCGACCUGAGAGGGUGAUCCGCCACACUGGAACUGAGACACGGUCCAGACUCCUACGGGAGGCAGCAGUAGGGAAUCUUCCGCAAUGGGCGAAAGCCUGACGGAGCAACGCCGCGUGAGUGAUGAAGGUCUUCGGAUCGUAAAACUCUGUUAUUAGGGAAGAACAAACGUGUAAGUAACUGUGCACGUCUUGACGGUACCUAAUCAGAAAGCCACGGCUAACUACGUG